AAAGCCGGAUUAAUACCGCAUACGAUCUACGGAUGAAAGCGGGGGAUCGCAAGACCUCGCGCUAUAGGGGCGGCCGAUGGCGGAUUAGCUAGUUGGUGGGGUAAAGGCCCACCAAGGCGACGAUCCGUAGCUGGUCUGAGAGGACGACCAGCCACACUGGGACUGAGACACGGCCCAUACUCCUACGGGAGGCAGCAGUGGGGAAUUUUGGACAAUGGGCGCAAGCCUGAUCCAGCAAUGCCGCGUGUGUGAAGAAGGCCUUCGGGUUGUAAAGCACUUUUGUCCGGAAAGAAAUCCUCUGGGUUAAUACCCCGGGGGGAUGACGGUACCGGAAGAAUAAGCACCGGCUAACUACGUGCCAGCAGCCGCGGUAAUACGUAGGGUGCGAGCGUUAAUCGGAAUUACUGGGCGUAAAGCGUGCGCAGGCGGUGAUGU
rnacentral:rRNA from 2 species